GGCUUUGUGCACAUGAAGACGGAGGAGAUGGCCGUUAGAGCUAUUAAGGAGCUGAACAAUGCAGAAUUUAUGGGUGUGCAGAUCAGCGUGGAGCAAUCAACAGGGAAAAAGAGUGGCAGAGGUGGUGGACGAGGGGGUUUUGGCCCAAUGCGAGGACGUGGCGGCAUGAGAGGAAUGGGACGUGCCCCCCCGUAUAUGAGAGAUGGCCGAGGGGACUAUGAUAGAAGGCCAGGCCUGCCUCCACCUAGUAUGAGGAAUGGCUACUAUGACAAUUAUGAUCGAGGCUACGACAACUACUACCCGUCGCGUGGACCUCCGCCAGUCAUGGCUUCUCGCGACAGUGACCUUUGUGACUUGCUUUUGAAUCGCAGGGGCUUCGACGUUUUUGACAGAGAACCAGAAAGGCGCUCUUACCCAGACAUGAUGCGGACCCCAUACGAGCGCCGAUCCUUUUCUGAUGUUGGCCGCAGUCCUUACGACCGCCCGUCAAUGCCACCGGUACCCUCCUUUGAGCGCCGCACUGACUACGGUGGUGCCCGCAUCUCCACAGACAUCUACCGCAGAAGAACACCUCCACCAUCUUCAAGUUAUGGGGCCGGAGGAUAUGAUCGAGAUGGCUUGGACCCGUAUGGACCACCUGCAAGACGAAUGAGCUCUUCGUAUUGGUGAAUAUCCUAACAGUCCUUGUGGUAUCAUGGAAGUCCACUACUGUUUAGGUUGGUACUGUUGCAUCUACAAGUUAAAUCUUCGUAAAAUUUUGGUUGCCCUCAGAGAUGGAUGAAUGUCAGCACUCCAUUGGACAAAAAUAUUGCAAGAAGUUGGAGGUUACCAGGGCCGUUCACUGAGGUUAAGACGGCAGUGCAUUCAUGACAAAUGUGAUCUAAGAGGUACUGGAACCACUUUCAAAGUGAGUAUGGUAUACAUGUGACCUCAGGCGUUCCUGGACGAAGGAAUAUUCAAAAAUCUUCACAAUCAGGAAAAUGGGGCAACUAUUUCAUUGAUAGUUUAUCACUACCAUGCUUACGUCUCGCCUUAAAACAGUAUUGCUGGGGAGUGCCUGGCAAAACAAGUCAGUUUUAUCCCCAUUGUCAGUCUUCAGUUCAUGUCCUUUACUAAGAGAUGAUUGCCUAAUCAGCCAUUCUUUUCUCUCAAAUGUUUCUGAAAAUGUUUUGUUAUUUACAUUUUGCAGACAUCCAUUUUAAGUUCUGAAGUCAUCUUUACCAUGCUUAAGACCUCUUCCAUUCUUUUAAGCAAAAGACGUAGAAUUCCAGAGCACAUUGUCUCCAGAAGCUACUUGUAAAAAUUAAAGUGAUUUUGUUUUUCAGUCCACGAGUAUAUUUCCUAGAACUACAGUGCAUAUCAAAAACCACUUAAUAACAGCUUUUACGUUUAAUUUUUUUUUGUUUCCAUUGCCACAUUAGGCAGAUUUCCUGUUUAUUGUAAUUUUGUGUUAAAUCUAUGUUUUAUCAGGAUAUGGGUUUAUAUUUUCAUGCAGGUUUUACUGUACUAAGAUUCCACUUCAUUUAGGAAACUGUGCUCAUCAUUUUCCAUGUCAUUCAGAAUAAAUGUUAUCCUUCCACUCCAAGAGAAGUCUUCACCCUUUCAAGGAAGGUCAAAUGAUAUUUUUAGCUCUCCUCCAAAGCCAACUGCGUUCACACCCUCUUCAUUUGAGCACAUACAAUUUUUGCAUUAAAUAUUUAAAUUUGUAUCCAUUAUUUCUUCCCCAUAUUCAAGCUCAAGUUAUGCCAGUGUUCCAAAUGCCAUAGCGUUAUAUUCAAACUAAUCAUACUACAGUCAAUAUGUUCUAUAAAGGAAGGUAGAUCAUGAUAUACCAUAUAUAUGGCUGUUUUUGUGAAUAUAUUUAAUGUCUAAAAGGGUGAAUGCAAAACUGACCAAGUGCUGCUGUAUUAAUAUAAUUUGGAAUACAAUCAGUCAUGAAUUGGUCUUUAAUAAGCAGCAUAACUCGUUUAAGAACAGUUUCUGCUGUUUUAUACAGUAUAGACAAUUCUUACAAACUACUUUGUGUGUUUGGUUUUCAGAGUAAGUUUUGGUGUGUCAACCCUCCAUUUGUCGAUGUGUUGCAGGCUGAUUGCCAAUUUUUUUCUCUCUUUAGUAUCACAAAAUUAGGAUUUCUUAUAUACAAAUGAAUGAUAGGAAAUGAAUGUAUUGUGUAUGUUUUGUGGCUACUUUGUAUGCAUAUUCUUACUGACUUGUAUUUAUACAUUUUUCACUUUUUAAUUAAACAGCUGUAAAAUAGCUAAUAAAAUAUUA